rnacentral:lncRNA from 1 species
CAAAAAAUCAAUUCUCAAAAUCCCUACCGAACGGGCCCUUAAAUUCUUCCCAAAAUCCAUCCCAAUUUCCCAUACCAACAUCAUCGUGGCUAGAAAAUCCUUCUAUCUCCAUUUUCUUUGAGAUUUUGACGAUGAAGAUGACGAAAAAUUUUGUGGUUUUUUUUCCUCACAAACUAAUGGAAUUUGAUUAGAACUCUCAGUAGAGAAAGUAAUGCACUGCUCUUCGGCUUCAUAAAUCCCCCUUAAUUUUUGCUCCGAUAGGAUGUUAUACAGUCAAUUGGGGAUCUUCUUACCUUUUUUACUGUGGAGGUGGUGGCGAUUGCAAAAGAUUUGGCCAAUCUCUUUUGCCUUUGAGAGAAGCUCCAGCGGAAUGUAUAGAGGUGGUGGCGCAAAACCAUAUUCAUUUUUAGGGAAAUCUAUAUGUGUCAUUUGUAUGGAUGGAGGCAAUUUGGGUGAUGUGGUGGUUUUCUGUGGAGGAGGAGACUUACAUGGUGCUAACGAUGGUUGAGCGUGGUGGGAUGGAGGUAUUCGAUUAGUAUGGGAUAAGUUAAAAA